rnacentral:rRNA from 1 species
UACGAAGGGGGCUAGCGUUGCUCGGAAUCACUGGGCGUAAAGGGUGCGUAGGCGGGUCUUUUAAGUCAGGGGUGAAAUCCUGGAGCUCAACUCCAGAACUGCCUUUGAUACUGAAGAUCUUGAGUUCGGGAGAGGUGAGUGGAACUGCGAGUGUAGAGGUGAAAUUCGUAGAUAUUGGGAAGAACACCAGUGGCGAAGGCGGCUCUCUGGACCGAUACUGACGCUGAGGCGCGAAAGCGUGGGGAGCAAACAGG